UUGUUGGUAAGGUAAAAGCUUACCAAGGCUUCGAUCAGUAGCUGGUCUGAGAGGACGACCAGCCACACUGGGACUGAGACACGGCCCAGACUCCUACGGGAGGCAGCAGUGGGGAAUUUUGGACAAUGGGGGCAACCCUGAUCCAGCCAUGCCGCGUGAGUGAAGAAGGCCUUCGGGUUGUAAAGCUCUUUCAGCCGGAACGAAACGGUUACGGUUAACACCCGUGACUACUGACGGUACCGGAAGAAGAAGCACCGGCUAACUACGUGCCAGCAGCCGCGGUAAUACGUAGGGUGCGAGCGUUAAUCGGAAUUACUGGGCGUAAAGCGUGCGCAGGUGGUUUUGUAAGUCAGAUGUGAAAGCCCCGGGCUCAACCUGGGAACUGCGUUUGAAACUACAAGACUAGAGUGUGGCAGAGGGGGGUGGAAUUCCGCGUGUAGCAGUGAAAUGCGUAGAGAUGUGGAGGAACACCGAUGGCGAAGGCAGCCCCCUGGGUCAACACUGACGCUCAGGCACGAAAGCAUGGGGAGCAAACAGGAUUAGAUACCCUGGUAGUCCAUGCCCUAAACGAUGUCAACUAGUUGUCGGGCCUUUACGGGCUUGGUAACGUAGCUAACGCGUGAAGUUGACCGCCUGGGGAGUACGAUCGCAAGAUUAAAACUCAAAUGAAUUGACGGGGACCCGCACAAGCGGUGGAUUAUGGGGAUUAAUUCGAUGCAACGCGAAAAACCUUACCUACCCUUGACAUGUAUCGAAGCCCGCAGAAAAGCGGGGGUGCCCGAAAGGGAACGAUAACACAGGUGCUGCAUGGCUGUCGUCAGCUCGUGUCGUGAGAUGUUGGGUUAAGUCCCGCAACGAGCGCAACCCUUGUCAUUAAUUGCCAUCAUUUAGUUGGGCACUUUAAUGAGACUGCCGG
rnacentral:rRNA from 1 species